rnacentral:rRNA from 1 species
GACGAACGCUGGCGGCGUGCCUAAUACAUGCAAGUAGAACGCUGAAGGAGGAGCUUGCUUCUCUGGAUGAGUUGCGAACGGGUGAGUAACGCGUAGGUAACCUGCCUGGUAGCGGGGGAUAACUAUUGGAAACGAUAGCUAAUACCGCAUAAUAGUAGAUGUUGCAUGACAUUUGCUUAAAAGGUGCAAUUGCAUCACUACCAGAUGGACCUGCGUUGUAUUAGCUAGUUGGUGGGGUAACGGCUCACCAAGGCGACGAUACAUAGCCGACCUGAGAGGGUGAUCGGCCACACUGGGACUGAGACACGGCCCAGACUCCUACGGGAGGCAGCAGUAGGGAAUCUUCGGCAAUGGACGGAAGUCUGACCGAGCAACGCCGCGUGAGUGAAGAAGGUUUUCGGAUCGCAAAGCUCUGUUGUAAGAGAAGAACGAGUGUGAGAGUGGAAAGUUCACACUGUGACGGUAUCUUACCAGAAAGGGACGGCUAACUACGUG